rnacentral:rRNA from 1 species
GCAUAUCAAUAAGCGGAGGAAAAGAAACCAACAGGGAUUACCUCAGUAACGGCGAGUGAAGCGGUAACAGCUCAAAUUUGAAAUCUGGGUCUUUUAGGCUCCGAGUUGUAAUUUGUAGAAGAUGCUUCGGGUGUGGCCCCGGUCUAAGUUCCUUGGAACAGGACGUCAUAGAGGGUGAGAAUCCCGUAUGUGACUGGGUGCUUUCGCUCAUGUGAAGCUCUUUCGACGAGUCGAGUUGUUUGGGAAUGCAGCUCAAAAUGGGUGGUAUAUUUCAUCUAAAGCUAAAUAUUGGCCAGAGACCGAUAGCGCACAAGUAGAGUGAUCGAAAGAUGAAAAGCACUUUGGAAAGAGAGUUAAACAGUACGUGAAAUUGUUGAAAGGGAAGCGCUUGCAAUCAGACUUGCACGCCGUUAAUCAUCCAGGGUUCUCUCUGGUGCACUUAGCGGCGUUCAGGCCAGCAUCGGUUUUAGGGGUGGGAUAAAGGCCUUGGGAAUGUAGCUUCUUUCGGGAAGUGUUAUAGCCCUCGGUGCAAUGCCGCCUCCUGGGACCGAGGACCGCGCUUCGGCUAGGAUGCUGGCGUAAUGGUUGUAAGCGACCCGUCUUGAAACACGGACCAAGGAGUCUAACAUUUAUGCGAGUAUUUGGGUGUUAAACCCAUAUGCGGAAUGAAAGUGAACGGAGGUAGGAACCCUUAAGGGUGCACUAUCGACCGAUCCUGAUGUCUUCGGAUGGAUUUGAGUAAGAGCAUAACUGUUGGGACCCGAAAGAUGGUGAACUAUGCGUGAAUAGGGUGAAGCCAGAGGAAACUCUGGUGGAGGCUCGCAGCGGUUCUGACGUGCAAAUCGAUCGUCAAAUUUGCGUAUAGGGGCGAAAGACUAAUCGAACCAUCUAGUAGCUGGUUCCUGCCGAA